UACGUAGGGCGCGAGCGUUGUCCGGAAUUAUUGGGCGUAAAGAGCUCGUAGGCGGCUUGUCACGUCGGGUGUGAAAGACCGGGGCUUAACUCCGGUUCUGCAUUCGAUACGGGCAGGCUAGAGUUCGGUAGGGGAGACGUGGAAUUCCUGGUGUAGCGGUGAAAUGCGCAGAUAUCAGGAGGAACACCGAUGGCGAAGGCAGGUCUCUGGGCCGAUACUGACGCUGAGGAGCGAAAGCGUGGGGAGCGAACAGG
rnacentral:rRNA from 1 species